GUGGUCACUUUGGGAGCACAUAUAUUAAAAUUGUAAUGAUACAGAGAAGAUGAGCAUGGCCCCUGCACAAGGGUGACAUGCACGUUUGUGAAGGUUUUAUAUUUUUC
rnacentral:snRNA from 1 species